GACGAACGCUGGCGGCGUGCUUAACACAUGCAAGUCGAACGGAAAGGCCCUGCUUUUGUGGGGUGCUCGAGUGGCGAAAGGGUGAGUAACACGCGAGUAACAUGCCCUUGACUUUGGGAUAACUUCAGGAAACUGGGGCUAAUACCGGAUAGGAGCUCCUGCGGCAUGGUGGGGGUUGGAAAGUUUCGGCGGUUGGGGAUGGACUCGCGGCUUAUCAGCUUGUUGGUGGGGUAGUGGCUUACCAAGGCUUUGACGGGUAGCCGGCCUGAGAGGGUGACCGGCCACAUUGGGACUGAGAUGCGGCCCAGACUCCUACGGGAGGCAGCGGUGGGGAAUAUUGCACAAUGGGCGGAAGCCUGAUGCAGCGACGCCGCGUGCGGGAUGACGGCCUUCGGGUUGUAAACCGCUUUCGCCUGUGACGAAGCGUGAGUGACGGUAAUGGGUAAAGAAGCACCGGCUAACUACGUG
rnacentral:rRNA from 1 species